rfam:Candidatus Levybacteria bacterium RIFCSPHIGHO2_01_FTLL_36_15 rifcsphigho2_01_scaffold_9399, whole genome shotgun sequence.
GCCCUUGUAGGCUAAUGGAUAGACCGCAGGAUUGCGGAUCCUGCUAUGCGAGUUCGAUUCUCGCCAAGGGCG